UGUGGUGCAAAGGAAGGUGAGAAAUGCAGUUGAUAUUUUUAGGCAGCCAUGUAUAUAAAACUAAAAUCCGCUCAUUAGAGGAGGAAUAUCUGAGAAAGAAUAUUGGGGGGGAAAAUGGUAGAAUAUGUCACAUAUUGCAUUAAUUACAUUUUGUACAAACAAGAAAAUAAUCUUUUGUACAACUGAAGUUUGUCACAUGCAGUCAGUGUGUUAGUGAAAAAUUGGGAAGGUAAGAGGUAAACUCCAUGUUUUAGGUCUUGAGUAAUUUCUCUUUUCUUUCAGUGAAGGGGAUGUUUUGAGUUUGCAUCUGCUUCAGCUGGCAUUUGGUGAUAGAAAAUGCUUGGCUUCAGGCCAAAUCUUAUAUGAGGGAUUAGAAUACUGCGAAGAAAGAUACACACUGGAUCUAGCAGGUGGCAUGUUACCCUUAAGAGGACAGACUAGUAAUACUAAAUUAUUGGGAUGCCAGAGUAUAGAGAGAUUCCCAUCUCAUGGUGACAGGGAAGAAAGUAUGAGAGAAGCUCUGUCCCCUGAUACCAGUGUUUCUGUCUUCACCUGGCAAGUGAAUAUAUAUGGACAAGGAAAGCCCUCUGUGUACUUAGGACUUUUUGACAUUAACCGUUGGUAUCAUGCUCAGAUGCCAGAUUCAUUAAGGUCAGGAGAGUCUCUACAUAAUUGCUCUUAUUUUGCAUUGUGGUCAUUGGAUUCAGUUGUCAGUAGGACUUCUCCACAUCACAUCUUGGACAUACUGGUUCACGAGAGAAGUUUAAAUCGAGGAGUUGCUCCUUCAUAUCCUCCUCCAGAGCAGUUUUUUAACCCAAGUACUUUUAAUUUUGACGCCACUUGUUUAUUAAACUCUGGAGUUAUCCAUGUAACUUGCACUGGAUUUCAGAAGGAGACUUUGACAUUUUUAAAGAAAUCAGGACCAUCUCUCAAUGAAGUCAUUCCUGAUAGUUACAAUCGGUGUCUUGUUGCUGGUCUUCUCUCACCAAGACUUAUUGACAUUCAGCCUUCCAGUUUAAGUCAAGAAGAACAAUUAGAAGCUAUAUUGUCAGCAGCAAUUCAGACAAGUUCCCUGGGACUUUUGACUGGGUACAUUAGAACAUGGAUAACAGAAGGUAACAGUUUAACUUUUUAAAAAUGAAAUAUAUAUUUUUAAAAUUACAGUUCAUGGUUUCACUUUUUAGUUAAACUUUUUGUGAGAUAAUUAUAAUUCACAUAAACUUGUACAGCAUAAUAGAGUGAAUCUGUAUAUGAUUUAUAGCAGUUUUCUUCCCUGAGUGACCUCUUGUGCAGUAUCACAUCCAAGAUCCUGAGCAUAGCCGUCCAUAUCCGCCUCCUCCUGCCCGGUGCCUGAGCACUGAUGUGCCCUCGACUGCCUCAGUGUCAUUUCUUGUAUGAACGUGAACUGAGUCGAGCAGAGUGUAACUUCUACAUACCUUUCCACUCAGCUAGAUUCCCUGGAGAUACAUUGUGUAUCUCUUGCUCCUUACAUGUAUCUAUAUAUAUGCAUACGUGCGCUCUGCCCUGCCCCUGUAUUGUUUUGUUGUAAACAAUUUGAAAGAAAGCAUUCUGCUUCUUACUUAUUUCAAUUUUAUUUUAUCUGAAAACAAAUGAUGCUCACCUAUAAAAACUUCGUGAUUACAAACUGAAGGGCAACACCAAGUGAGAACUUACCAGUGUUCCAGAAUACAGCAUCUUUUGUGUUUUUGAGUUGUUUGGGCAAUUUUGUUUAUUUUAGAUAGGUUUCUCUGUGUAGUCCUGGCUGUCCUGGAACUCACUUUAUAGACCAAGCUAACCCCAAACUCAGAGAUUUGAAUAUGUCUGCCUCCUGAGUGCUGGAAUUAAAGGCAUGUGCCUAAAAUAAGUUUUCAGUCUUUUAAUAUUCCAAAAUUUCUAAAGUCAAAUUUAAAAGACUAUAGGCCAGAUUUUUGGUUUUGGUUUUGGUUUGUUUUGUUGGUUUUAGUUCUGGUUUUUCCAGAUAGGGUUUCUCUGUGUAGCUUUGCAGCCUGUAUUGGAACUGGAACUCGUUCUGUAGAUUAGGCUAUCCUGAAACUCACAGAGGUCUGUCUAGCUCUGCCUGGACUGGGAUUAAACAUUUCACCACCCUGCUUGUUUGUUUAAGAUUGCUUUCUAGUUUCUAAUAAUUGAUCUUCCUCAUAACCACUCGCUACCUCUCCUCAACUUCAUUGGGUUUUGUAGCUUGGGCAGCAUGGUUCCUGCGAUAAGGUGUACCAAGAUAAAUUUGGUAGAAGUUGGUCUUAAAUACGUGAGCUUGGUUAAGGUGCCUCCUGCAUGGUUCCUCUUACAAAGAACUAGUUUUCAUUUUGGAGUUAAUAACCAUUCUUUUUAUCUUUAUUCUUUUAUAAAUACAAAUAAGAACAACCAAAUUCUGCUGCUAAUCUACGUUUUGUUCUUGAAUGGACAUGGAAUAAGGUGGUUCUCACAAAAGAAGAAUUUGACAGGCUUUGUAAGUAUUAAGUCUGGGUUCAGGGCAAAUUUCAAUAGUUUGAAUCUAAUGUUGAUGUUUUAUUUUCAGAUAGGGCAUUUGUCUGAGACAAGGUCUCAGUAACGUAGGCUGACAUGACCCUCACUAUAUAUAGUCCAUGCUUGCACUGAACUUGGGCUGAGGCUCCCUCUAGCCUCCGUGUGCUUUGAAUUACAUGCAUGAGCCAUCACAUCUAGCUCAGUAGUAGUUGUAAUAUUUGGG
rnacentral:lncRNA from 1 species